rnacentral:rRNA from 1 species
UACAGAGGUCUCAAGCGUUGUUCGGAUUCAUUGGGCGUAAAGGGCGCGUAGGCGGCAAGGCAAGUCGGGUGUGAAAGCUUGGGGCUUAACCCCGAAAGGGCACUCGAAACUGCCCUGCUAGAGGGCCGGAGAGGAGAUCGGAAUUCCUGGUGUAGCGGUGAAAUGCGCAGAUAUCAGGAGGAACACCGGUGGCGAAGGCGGAUCUCUGGGCCAUUACUGACGCUGAGGAGCGAAAGCGUGGGGAGCGAACAGG